rnacentral:rRNA from 1 species
GACGAACGCUGGCGGCGUGCUUAACACAUGCAAGUCGAACGGAAAGGCCCUGCUUUUGUGGGGUGCUCGAGUGGCGAACGGGUGAGUAACACGUGAGUAACCUGCCCUUGACUUUGGGAUAACUUCAGGAAACUGGGGCUAAUACCGGAUAGGAGCUCCUGCUGCAUGGUGGGGGUUGGAAAGUUUCGGCGGUUGGGGAUGGACUCGCGGCUUAUCAGCUUGUUGGUGGGGUAGUGGCUUACCAAGGCUUUGACGGGUAGCCGGCCUGAGAGGGUGACCGGCCAAAAUGGGAAUGGGGAAAGGCCCCGAACCCUAAGGGGGGGAAGAGGGGGGAAAAAUGGAAAAAGGGGGGAAGGCUGAAGGAGGAAAGGCGGGUGCGGGAUGACGGCCUUCGGGUUGUAAACCGCUUUCGCCUGUGACGAAGCGUGAGUGACGGUAAUGGGUAAAGAAGCACCGGCUAACUACGUG